AGUCUGCUCUUAUUUUAUCAUGUUAAGAGAGUGAAACUGAGAAAGCAAACCCUGUGGUUUUUGCUAGUUGUUGAUUCCAGAAGAAGUUGAUGGCAUCAGCUUUGUGAAAUCCCAGCACAUGCCAAGAACAGCUGGAGAAGUUUAAACAAGUUCUGGGUGAGUUAUAUUUGCCCUCCAGUUUUCACUCCAAGGUGGGGUUCAUAUGGCUCUCCUCCUCCUCCUCCGAAUGGCCUAAAAGGUGCAUCCAGCCUGAGGGUAGACUCACCCAGAAAGGCCUGGCAUCAACACACUCUUGGAUACGCCCAGUGCCAACUCUGACAACACCUUUUCUCAAAACAAAACAAAAGGCAAGCCAUCCCUUUGGUCCUUUUGUCUUACCGUGCAUGUGACAAAAUGCCUGGACAAGCCGGGAUCUCUUGGCCAGCAAAAAUGGAACACCCUUCAUCAAUCAAAGUUCAAAGAAAGGAUGAGACACUGAUGUUCACAACUUGAAGGCUUCCCCCUACGCACCUUUUUACCAUGCACGCACACUUAAAGCCAUGCACUUAAGCCCAAAUUCUCAGAGAUUUAUCUCUAGGUUGGAGGGAAUGCAAGUCAAGAAGCAUGUUGUAUGCUGCUACCAAUUUUCAGGUUUCGAAGAGAUCUACUAGAUCAGCUUGUCCAGUCUAAUCCUGUCCACUUCUGUCCUUGAAUGCAAAAUAACUUGUAAUUAACCACAGAGCUUGGUGAUGUAGUCUAUGAUUUUAUACUAGUGUUGAAAAGUAGAAGGGUUUUGAAAUGUAUGCAAAUAAAAUCCAGCAUGCAAAAAUCCAUUUAUAUUUUUAAAUAUCAAGUUUCUAGCCCUCAAGCUAGGCUUUAAUAUGCACAGGCAUGCCUGGAGUAGGGAUGGGCAUGUUUCUCAAGCCUGAUCUAGUCAAGGAUCUUUUUUUUUGUUUAACUGUCCAGAUAAUUCUUCCCCAAUCCUAUAAUGGAUUCCUCCACCUGCACAGAAAUUAGUAUGGCUUUUGAGUACAUUUCCCCCUAAUAUGUAUAUACAUUAACUUAAAUGCAUUUUGGGGUACAUACAGUCACUGAAUAAUUAUUGUAUUUCUGCUUUUUAGAAGUGUGCAUAUUUUACAUGUGUGUAAACACUGAAAAGUUCACCCUCUUUCUUCCAGGGCAGUGGUUCCCAACCUUUUUUUUUUAUCAGGGCCCACUUUGACCAAGACCCACUUUGACCAGAGACCACUUUCCAACGUUAGUACCAAAAGAGUUGGGGCUGGUCAGCUCUGCGGAAAGGAGCGAAAAUAAAAUAAAAUAAAAUAAAGAGGAAGAAGGUUCAUGGACCAGAUUUUCAUUCUCGUGGCCCACUGCUGGGCUGCGGCCCACAGGUUGAGAACCACUGUUUCAGGGAAUGCACCACAACCUCAACAUAUACACAUUUGACUGCAAAUUGUAUCUCAGUUUCAGGAAUGGUAAACCCAAUAAAUUUGACACCAGUGAUGGGGUUAAUUCUUUAUACUUCUCACCUGGAGAAACCUCUGAAUCUCAGAUCAGAUUGGGUGGAAUUUUUACUGCUUAAAAGGAAAAAAAAAUAUCUCAGUUCCUAACAGUUCCACCAUUGUCAAUACUGGAAGCAAUACAGAUUAUGUCAUUUCAAGAAAUAUGCAUUGUAUCAUAAUUUUAAACAGUUAUGUCAUUCAACUUUCCUUCAUGCAGAAUACAAAUAAUUGUUUAAUUGAUGGAUGAAUUUGAUGUAAUUCCUCUCUCACUUUUGUAUUUCAAAUGGGGUUUGAGGCAGUUUAAAGGAUUAAAAACAGAGAUACAAUCAACAAAAUGUACUAUUGAUGAACAAACAAAUGAGUAUAGCAUGAAAAAUACUGACUUAAAAGUCCUUUAAAAGGACUCUAACAAAAGGAUUCUAACAACAAGGAUAGUCUCUGUCACAAUCCAUUGCCCAAGGUCCCCCUGAACCAUAUUGAUCUUUACUCAAAGUGGAUUCUUGAAGGGGGUUUCCAAGUCCUCUUCCUUUGUUUUCUUUUCUAUACAACUGCAGUUCCAAGAAACUGAAAGAAGAAAGGGUCAUGUUUAUGCAUUGUUGUUAAGAAGACCUAGAAAACUGUGUGUUUUGAUAAGUUAAUGAUGUUUAAGUCUAUGUUAUCCAUGUCUUUGAUUCAGGGUUUGGAUAACUCUUCCAAAUCCUCAGCCACAAAAUUAACUUUUCUAAUCUCCAAUUUUAUGGAUUCAGCCUUGGUCAUCUA